rnacentral:rRNA from 12 species
CCGAACCAGUAUACGUUGAAAAGUAUUUGGAUGACUUGUGGGUAGGGGUGAAAGGCCAAUCAAACUGAGAGAUAGCUCGUACUCCCCGAAAUGCUUUUAGGAGCAGCGUGUGGGUUUAGUUUAUUAGAGGUAGAGCUACCAAUUGGACUAGGGGGAGUCAAAUCCUACCAAAUCCAGAUGAACUCCGAAUGCUAAUAAAUAUACCACACAGUGAGGGCUUGGGUGCUAAGGUCCAAGUCCGAGAGGGAAAGAACCCAGACCUACAGCUAAGGUCCCAAAAUCUAUGCUAAGUUGAACUAAGGAGGUCCAGUUGCUUAGACAGCCAGGAUGUUGGCUUGGAAGCAGCCAUUCAUUUAAAGAGUGCGUAACAGCUCACUGGUCGAGCGACAGGGCAUCGAUAAUAAUCGGGCAUCAAGUGUAGUACCGAAGCUUAGGAUGUAUUUAUACAUGGUAGGGGAGCAUUCUCUA